CCUCGGAGAGUUUGAUCCUGGCUCAGGACGAACGCUGGCGGCGUGCCUAAUACAUGCAAGUCGAGCGAACAGAAGGGAGCUUGCUCCCGGAUGUUAGCGGCGGACGGGUGAGUAACACGUGGGUAACCUGCCUGUAAGACUGGGAUAACUCCGGGAAACCGGAGCUAAUACCGGAUAGUUCCUUGAACCGCAUG
rnacentral:rRNA from 1 species